AGCACUCUGCUAACUCGUAAGAGGAUGUAUAGGGUGUGACGCCUGCCCGGUGCUCGAAGGUUAAUUGAUGGGGUUAGCAUUAGCGAAGCUCUUGAUCGAAGCCCGAGUAAACGGCGGCCGUAACUAUAACGGUCCUAAGGUAGCGAAAUUCCUUGUCGGUUAAAUACCGACCUGCAUGAAUGGCGUAACGAGAUGGGAGCUGUCUCAAAGAGGGAUCCAGUGAAAUUGUAGUGGAGGUGAAAAUUCCUCCUACCCGCGGCAAGACGGAAAGACCCCGUGGACCUUUACUACAGCUUGACACUGCUAUUUGGAUAAGAAUGUGCAGGAUAGGUGGGAGGCUUUGAGUAUAUGACGCCAGUUGUAUAUGAGCCAUUGUUGAGAUACCACUCUUUCUUAUUUGGGUAGCUAACCAGCUUGAGUUAUCCUCAAGUGGGACAAUGUCUGGUGGGUAGUUUGACUGGGGCGGUCGCCUCCCAAAUAAUAACGGAGGCUUACAAAGGUUGGCUCAUAGCGGUUGGAAAUCGCUAGUAGAGUAUAAAGGUAUAAGCCAGCUUAACUGCAAGACAUACAAGUCAAGCAGAGACGAAAGUCGGUCUUAGUGAUCCGGUGGUUCUGUGUGGAAGGGCCAUCGCUCAAAGGAUAAAAGGUACCCCGGGGAUAACAGGCUGAUCUCCCCCAAGAGCUCACAUCGACGGGGAGGUUUGGCACCUCGAUGUCGGCUCAUCGCAUCCUGGGGCUGGAGCAGGUCCCAAGGGUAUGGCUGUUCGCCAUUUAAAGCGGUACGCGAGCUGGGUUCAGAACGUCGUGAGACAGUUCGGUCCCUAUCUGCCGUGGGCGUAAGAAGAUUGAAGAGAUUUGACCCUAGUACGAGAGGACCGGGUUGAACAAACCACUGGUGUAGCUGUUGUUCUGCCAAGAGCAUCGCAGCGUAGCUAAGUUUGGAAAGGAUAAACGCUGAAAGCAUCUAAGCGUGAAGCCAACUCUAAGAUGAAUCUUCUCUAAGCUCUCUAGAAGACUACUAGUUUGAUAGGCUGGGUGUGUAAUGGAUGAAAGUCCUUUAGCUGACCAGUACUAAUAGAGCGUUUGGCUUAUCUUAUAAA
rnacentral:rRNA from 1 species